ensembl:lncRNA
CACACACACACGCACACACACACGCACACACACACACACUUGAAGCUGGGAAACUGGCUCCCCAGAUAAUAUAUCCAUUAGGCUAGGCUGCAGGAAAGCUCACCAGCUCUCUAAUAUCUGCCAGGUCUGCCUUAUGCCAACUCUUAUUCCAAUAGAGCAUAAGUAAAAAUGUUGGGUCAUACCCUCUCCUACCCUCAAUCUCCUGUCGCUGCGUUUGAUACCUCGACUGGGUUAUCUGCUACUGCCUGGGUGUCAUGUCACCCCUAGAGGAGGUUCUCUGCUACUGCCUGGGUGUCAUGUCACCCCUAGAGGAGGUUCUCUGCUACUGCCUGGGUGUCAUGUCACCCCUAGAGGAGGUUCUCUGCUACUCCCUGGGUGUCAUGCCACCCCUUAGAGGUUCUCUGCUACUGCCUGGGUGUCAUGCCACCCCUAGAGGAGGUUCUCUGCUACUGCCUGGGUGUCAUUCUACCCUAGAGGAGGUUCUCUGCUUCUGCCUGAGUGUCAUGCCACUCUUAGAGGAGGUUCUCUGCUACUGCCUGGGUGUCAUGCUACCCUAGAUGAAGUUCUCUGCUACUGCCUGGGUGUCAUGCCACCCUAGAUGAAGUUCUCUGCUACUGCCUGGGUGUCAUGCUACCCUAGAUGAAGUUCUCUGCUACUGCCUGGGUGUCAUGCCACCCCUAGAGGAGGUUCUCUGCUUCUGCCUGGGUGUCAUGCCACCCUAGAGGAGGUUCUCUGCUACUGCCUGGGUGUCAUGCUACCCUAGAUGAAGUUCUCUGCUACUGCCUGCGUGUCAUGCCACCCCUAGAGGAGGUUCUCUGCUACUGCUUGCGUGUCACCCUAGAGGAGGUUAUCUGCUACUGCCUGCGUGUCACCCCUAGAGGAGGUGCUCUGCUACUGCCUGCGUGUCACCCCUAGAGGAGGUUUUCUGCUACUGCCUGCGUGUCACCCCGAGAGGAGGUUCUCUGCUACUGCCCGCGUGUCCCCCCUAGAGGAGGGCACCUUGAUUGGUCCUAGACAGGGUUACCUGCCUCGCCUCGCUCCUUACCGUAUGGGCCGAGAACAGCAGUCUGCUGCUCGUACUGGGCGCAGAUGAAAUGAUAAACACCUCAUCUGUCCCCAAGUCCAGUUCCGUGAGACCAUUGGAUGAGAGGUCCACUUCAGCAUGCUCAGACAUAUCACCACC